rnacentral:misc_RNA from 1 species
UCCGAGUUGACCCCGGCAGUCUCCUAUGAGUCCCCGACAUUACUCGCUGGCAACAUAGAACAAGGGUUGCGCUCGUUGCGGGACUUAACCCAACAUCUCACGACACGAGCUGACGACAACCAUGCACCACCUGUAUACCGCCCUUGCGGACCUGCCAUCUCUGACAGUUUUCGGUAUAUGUCAAGCCUUGGUAAGGUUCUUCGCGUUGCGUCGAAUUAAGCCACAUGCUCCGCCGCUUGUGCGGGCCCCCGUCAAUUCCUUUGAGUUUUAGCCUUGCGGCCGUACUCCCCAGGCGGGGCGCUUAAUGCGUUAGCUGCGGCACGGAGAACGUGGAAAGUUCCCCACACCUAGCGCCCAACGUUUACGGCUGGGACUAC